GCUUUUAUUUAAGCAUUACAAUUCUAUCAGCCACAGCCCUUCGUUAGCACAGCACCAGGAGAUAACUCCCUCCUUUGGGGGGAAUUUUUUUUCAUAUCUAGGCCCCUGUUCCCACUGCAGGAAUUUGCUGGCCCAAAGUAGAAGAGGAAGUGGAGGGGCUUGGUUUCCAAGGAAAGAAGCUGGAGAACAGUGCAAAAAGAAGGGAGCUGUGAAUGAAAUAGAGAGCAAGUGGAAGACAGACCAUUAUUCUCCUUGUUGCAUCCACUUCUGCCUUGAGGCAGUGAAGAGGGCUCUUGUUUGCGCUGCAUCUCUGCACAGUUUCACUGAAAUGGAAUCAUCUCCAAUGUAUCUGCUAAACCCUGGCUAAAGACAAGAAGGUCUGAACACAGCAAGCCUACAUCCUGCUGGACUUACUCAGAACAUGAAGACAACGAAAUGCAGAAGGCCAAGAUGACCCAACUUCAGUCCAG